CGGUGGUGAUGAUGAUGAUGAUGAUGAUGAGGCUUGGUUUGCUGCUCCUCGCCGCUGCCGUCACGUGACUGUACGGAGGAAGGAGGGGGAGGAGCUGAGCAUCACCGGCAGGGGGCGCAGCGAGGACGGCGGCUCGUUGGAUGAAACUCUCUGGCAGAUCUCAGCGUAACUCGGUUUCUUGGACUCCUGGACAACCAGAACACAGAGCAGGAUUCAGAUCAACGUCAUGACCAAUCACAUCCCUCUAAUAUCAUUUUCAAGAACUCAGUUUCUGUUCUCCACAGACGUAGAUUUAAAAGUGGGAUGCACUGGACAUGUUCCUCUCCCUGAAAAGUUAAUGGAAAUCCGUGAGUCUGUUUGUGAGUGAUGUAUUUUAAUUGUAUGAAAAGUGCUGAAUAAAUAAAGUUUGAUUGACUGAUUGAUAACGUUGUGCACAGACAGACAGACGGAUAAAGUAACAGACAGACAAACGUGCUGAUUGUCAUGUAACUCCUCGUUCCUUGGCUCAGUAAAGAUAGUCAACACUGAACAGAACUCAACACUCAAAUGCUGAGUUCACAUUCAGGAUUUUUUUCUCUGAUGUUGCCCUAAAUAAUAUCCUCAUUCUUACGAGUCAACUUAAAGGGAAGAAUUCGAACAAAGGAAAUCUUGGUCGACUGAAAUCGUGUGAAGAAAAACCUGCAUCCUGCAGUACAGAACGAUCUGCUGCACCUCAUUAUCAUUCUGCUAAAGGAGGAAAAAUGUUCUGGUCGUUGGUACGUAGAGCUGAAGGGAGGAGAAAGACGGCAGGUUUCUACUGUUUUUACAUCAACGUAAUGCUCACAGUACACUGAGUUCUCUCUACCUGCAGCAUUAAUUAAAGAUAAAUCAACAUAUAAAGACAACAUAUGCAGCACAUAAAUCCUUUGAACCUGCUUAUUUUAUACUGAAAUUAUAAGAUCAGAGCAGCUGCACAUAAUCACAGACUUUCUGAAAACAGAUCAACCGGUGAUUCAGCAGAACAUUGAGGCCAUUUCCACACAGAUACUUACAGAGAUGAAAACUGUCAUCGUUUCUACUACUAAUGACGGUGAAAACUAAAACUGACAAGUGAUUCUGACAUGUAGGAACAGAAUAUGUUUGUCUACGUUUGUGCUGCUGUUUGCUUCUGCAUGCUUUGGGGCUCAGACAGAGGUGGACUAUAAACAUGGAGUCCUGCCUUAAAUUCUAUUUAUUUUCCAUUUCUCAUUAAUUUUAAAGUAUCUAAACAUGGCUAACAUGAAACAUACACUGACCUGGUAUAUGUCAGGUUAAACAGAGUGGUGGAGGAGCUGAAUACAAACAAAAGACACAGCAGAGUAUUUGAAACUAAAUGAAGUCUUACUGUGACUGGUUCCUGUGGGAGCUGAACUGGUUUGACUUCACUGCUCACCUCCACACUCUCCUUCACUUUCCUACAGAGACGAGCAGAACAAUCUCAGCACACGCAGCUGGAAGCGUGACAGCUGGAAAACCACUGCACAGUAAACACGUGAAACAGCUUUAGACACAAUAAGUGGAGAGGCCUGGCUGUGGCUGUGGAUUGGUAACGGUGUUUAACGCAAGAACGAGCAGCAAAGAAAUGCAGAGGAAAGGUGAAAAUAGAGCAUUAAGUGGAACAGCCAGAGGAGAGAACAUCCAGCUGCUGUCUCAGAGAUACUCACUGCUGAAGGACUGAUUCAGGCUCUUCUGGCAGUGAUGUGUUGGAGCUGCUGCUUCUGACUGGACCCUGAAAACACAGCGACCAUCGGGGCGUUUAUGAGUGUGUUUGUGACUUUACUUUUUACCUUUUGAUGACAUGAGACUCGGUGAACAAACCUGGGUGUUGCUGUUAGCAGCAGCUCUGGUUGUUGUGACGUCGCUCGUCGUAGAAAGAGGAGGGAAACUCGUCAGACCGAGUUCGAGAGGAGACGGCUGACGAGGAGGCGUUUGACUCUGUGGAUUUUACACAAACACACAGUCAACACAAUGUCUCAACAAAUAACGCUUUUCCACCAGCACCUACUCAGCUUGACUCUACUCUGUGUGAGGUUUUCCAUUAGGACGCAGUACCAGGUAUCAUUCUGGUACCUACUCGGCCGGGGUUCUGAGUCAAGCUGAUAAUGCGACGUCUACAGAGUGCAGGCCACUGAUUGGACAGGGAGUGAUGACGCACGAGAGCCACUCCUUCACGAAAACCAAACCCACCAUUUAAAAAAAUAAAAAUAAAAAAUGGCCACAGCAACGGAGUGCUUUUACUUUGAAUCUGAUAAAAAGCCACAGGCCGAGCAGCAGGUCUACCAUGUCCUCCACUGUUGUGUUUUUGUUGCACACAAAUGACAUUAAGAGACUUCCGGGCCGCUGUACUGUGACAAGUCCACCCAUGAUGAGGUGGUACUUAACUGUAAUGGAAAAUGACCUAAACCGAGCCGAGUCGCGUUGAGCCAAGUCAAUGCUGGUGGAGAAGCACCUAAAAUGAACUAAAACAUCAACACUGAUCUGUAGCUGCUUAUUAGGGAUCAACUCGUGUUGUUUUUCAGACCCAACGUGUAAAAAUCUUGGUGUAGAAACGCAGACUGGCACAAAAUCCAACCUCAAACUUUGUAGAACUGCCUUUGUUUUUGAUGUUUUACAUUUGCUUCAUUAAAAGAGAACAUUUCAGCA